AGUGAACGCUGGCGGUAGGCCUAACACAUGCAAGUCGAACGGCAGCACAGUAAGAGCUUGCUCUUACGGGUGGCGAGUGGCGGACGGGUGGGGAAUACAUCGGAAUCUACUUUUUCGUGGGGGAUAACGUAGGGAAACUUACGCUAAUACCGCAUACGACCUACGGGUGAAAGCAGGGGAUCUUCGGACCUUGCGCGAUUGAAUGAGCCGAUGUCGGAUUAGCUAGUUGGCGGGGUAAAGGCCCACCAAGGCGACGAUCCGUAGCUGGUCUGAGAGGAUGAUCAGCCACACUGGAACUGAGACACGGUCCAGACUCCUACGGGAGGCAGCAGUGGGGAAUAUUGGACAAUGGGCGCAAGCCUGAUCCAGCCAUACCGCGUGAGUGAAGAAGGCCUUCGGGUUGUAAAGCCCUUUUGUUGGGAAAGAAAAGCAGCAGGUUAAUACCCCGCUGUUCUGACGGUACCCAAAGAAUAAGCACCGGCUAACUUCGUG
rnacentral:rRNA from 1 species